GACGAACGCUGGCGGCGUGCUUAACACAUGCAAGUCGAGCGGUAAGGCCCUUUCGGGGGGUACACGAGCGGCGAACGGGUGAGUAACACGUGGGUGACCUGCCCUCAGCUCUGGGGAUAAGCCUGGGGAAACUGGGUCUAAUACUGGAUAUGACUCCACGGUGCAUGUCGUGGGGUGGAAAGCCUUGUGCGGCUGAGGAUGGGCCCGCGGCCUAUCAGCUUGUUGGUGGGGUGANGGCCUACCAAGGCGACGACGGGUAGCCGGCCUGAGAGGGCGACCGGCCACACUGGGACUGAGACACGGCCCAGACGUCCUACGGGGGCAGCAGUGGGGGAAUCUUGCGCAAUGGGCGAAAGCCUGACGCAGCGACGCCGCGUGA
rnacentral:rRNA from 1 species